rnacentral:tRNA from 1 species
GGCCACGUGGCGGAGUGGUGACGCAGCGGACUGCAAAUCCGCGCACGCCGGUUCGAUUCCGGCCGUGGCCUCCA